UACAGAGGGGGCCAGCGUUAUUCGGAAUUAUUGGGCAUAAAGAGCUCGUAGGCGGUGUGUCACGUCGGCCGUGAAAACCUGCAGCUUAACUGUGGGCGUGCGGUCGAUACGGGCAUCACUGGAGUUCGGCAGGGGAGACUGGAAUUCCUGGUGUAGCGGUGAAAUGCGCAGAUAUCAGGAGGAACACCGGUGGCGAAGGCGGGUCUCUGGGCCGAUACUGACGCUGAGGAGCGAAAGCGUGGGGAGCAAACAGG
rnacentral:rRNA from 1 species